rnacentral:SRP_RNA from 1 species
GCCUUAGGACAAGGGAGUACUGGUGAACCGUGUCAGGUCCGGAAGGAAGCAGCACUAAGCUUGCUACUCCUUGUGUCCUAAGUUAGU